GACGAACGCUGGCGGCGUGCUUAACACGUGCAAGUCGAACGGAAAGGCCCUGCUUUUGUGGGGUGCUCGAGUGGCGAACGGGUGAGUAACACGUGAGUAACCUGCCCUUGACUUUGGGAUAACUUCAGGAAACUGGGGCUAAUACCGGAUAGGAGCUCCUGCUGCAUGGUGGGGGUUGGAAAGUUUCGGCGGUUGGGGAUGGACUCGCGGCUUAUCAGCUUGUUGGUGGGGUAGUGGCUUACCAAGGCUUUGACGGGUAGCCGGCCUGAGAGGGUGACCGGCCACAUUGGGACUGAGAUACGGCCCAGACUCCUACGGGAGGCAGCAGUGGGGAAUAUUGCACAAUGGGCGGAAGCCUGAUGCAGCAACGCCGCGUGCGGGAUGACGGCCUUCGGGUUGUAAACCGCUUUCGCCUGUGACGAAGCGUGAGUGACGGUAAUGGGCAAAGAAGCACCGGCUAACUACGUGCCAGCAGCCGCGGUAA
rnacentral:rRNA from 1 species